CCGGGCACCAGGAGUGUGAAAUUUAUUGUGUUUCAGUAAAUCAUUCACUCCUGCCUGGGUUGGAUUCAAUGUUUGGGCGGUAUAGAAAGGAAAGGGACGUGCUGGCUGGCUUAGUGUGUCUCUUCCAUGUGAGAGAGAAGUCGGAGGGAACACGACCACCGUGCGGCUGACGAGCUCGCUGCGCCAGCCGUGAGAAGGCUCCGUUCAGCUCCCAGCCCGGCCCCGGCCUCCUCCCAGCACCAUGGGGGUUUCCUCGCUCCUCUGCCUCCUCCCUGCUCUCCUAGCGACAGCCAGUGCCCAAGCGGGGACCCUGACAUGCAAAAUGUGUUUCGGCUCGACGGAGACCUGCAGAUUGCUUUACGGAACCUGCCAAGACGACCAAGAGACGGGC